AACGCGAAGAACCUUACCUGGUCUUGACAUCCACGGAAGUUUUCAGAGAUGAGAAUGUGCCUUCGGGAACCGUGAGACAGGUGCUGCAUGGCUGUCGUCAGCUCGUGUUGUGAAAUGUUGCGUUAAGUCCCGCAACGAGCGCAACCCUUAUCCUUUGUUGCCAGCGGUCCGGCCGGGAACUCAAAGGAGACUGCCAGUGAUAAACUGGAGGAAGGUGGGGAUGACGUCAAGUCAUCAUGGCCCUUACGACCAGGGCUACACACGUGCUACAAUGGCGCAUACAAAGAGAAGCGACCUCGCGAGAGCAAGCGGACCUCAUAAAGUGCGUCGUAGUCCGGAUUGGAGUCUGCAACUCGACUCCAUGAAGUCGGAAUCGCUAGUAAUCGUGGAUCAGAAUGCCACGGUGAAUACGUUCCCGGGUCUUGUACACACCG
rnacentral:rRNA from 1 species